rnacentral:lncRNA from 1 species
AGGGUUGAAAUAAAUACUUGAAGAAUCUUUUCAAAACCUUAUUUAUUCCCUCCUUUAAGUGCCUUUUAUAACUUCAAAUAAUGGUGGAGAGUAAUCUGGACUGAAAUAGAGCCGUUGGAGCAUAUUAAAUGGGCAUUAAAUGCAGCCAAAACGAGCUGAAAACUAGCCGUUGCGGAAUUUUUCUGUCACAGAGGUCGACUCAUGC